UACGUAGGGUGCAAGCGUUAAUCGGAAUUACUGGGCGUAAAGCGUGCGCAGGCGGUUUUGUAAGACUGUCGUGAAAUCCCCCGGGCUCAACCUGGGAAUGGCGAUGGUGACUGCAAGGCUAGAGUUUGGCAGAGGGGGGUAGAAUUCCACGUGUAGCAGUGAAAUGCGUAGAUAUGUGGAGGAACACCGAUGGCGAAGGCAGCCCCCCUGGGUCAAAACUGACGCUCAUGCACGAAAGCGUGGGGAGCAAACAGG
rnacentral:rRNA from 1 species